UUAUUUUCGGACCACCUCCCGUUUUUCUUGAAACGAGUUUAGAAUGGAUUUAUGCACUUGGUUAUUCGAUCUUGAUGUUUGCCGACUUGUGUACAAUUAAUUCCCCUUUCGAGUCGCUCUAGUGGUUUAAAGUCAUAUUUGACUAGAUGGUCCAAAUAAGGUGCAAAAGAGGCCAAUGUGCCCAAAUUGUCAUGGGGGUUCGGUUGCGAUUCAACACACUGGCGACUUUAGGUCUGCCGCCUGUAAGCUAGUCCCUUCAGGCUUCUUUUCUCACCUCUUCCUAGUUGUGGGUCGGGGUUUUUCAGGUAAACUCGGUCUAUGUGGAUGAGAGCCUUAGCCCGAUC
rnacentral:lncRNA from 1 species